AACGAACGCUGGCGGCAGGCUUAACACAUGCAAGUCGAACGCCCCGCAAGGGGAGUGGCAGACGGGUGAGUAACGCGUGGGAACAUACCCUUUCCUGCGGAAUAGCUCCGGGAAACUGGAAUUAAUACCGCAUACGCCCUACGGGGGAAAGAUUUAUCGGGGAAGGAUUGGCCCGCGUUGGAUUAGCUAGUUGGGGGGGUAAAGGCCUACCAAGGCGACGAUCCAUAGCUGGUCUGAGAGGAUGAUCAGCCAGAUUGGGACUGAGACACGGCCCAAACUCCUACGGGAGGCAGCAGUGGGGAAUAUUGGACAAUGGGCGCAAGCCUGAUCCAGCCAUGCCGCGUGAGUGAUGAAGGCCUUAGGGUUGUAAAGCUCUUUCACCGAUGAAGAUAAUGACGGUAGUCGGAGAAGAAGCCCCGGCUAACUUCGUGCCAGCCGCCGCAGUAAGAC
rnacentral:rRNA from 1 species